CAACUUGACAUUUUCAGAAAAUUAUAUUUCUUUGGCGAUGGGUUGGAAGAACAUGAAUAGACAAAAAAAGGAUUUGGAGACGUUACAGUUGAUGAUUUUAAUUCACCCAGAAAAGCCUCAGAAAUCGAAAAAUGUCUAAUUCACACAUACUUAUUCCACUGUAUAAGAUUAUACUUAUUAUGGUUUUAAAAACGGAAAUAUAUGAUGUGCCACAUACAAGGAACUAAGAAGUCGCGCCAAUCUAUAGACAAUUUUUCAGACAUUGACUUACUUGAAGAUAAUUCUGGCAGCUCUGAUGAAGCCAGACAAUAUUGCAGUGAAUUAUUAAAUUCAAAGAGAAUAUUGUCCAUGUAUUGUUGUUUAGUAGAUGUGACUUAUACUUUAUGGUUGUUUCAAGCAAUGGUUAUUGCCAGAUUCCAAUGUUAAUUACAAAAUUAAAUCUUAUUUAAAAAAUAUUCCGCUCAAAAAUAUUUUACACACAUAUUUUGCCUGUGUCUUAUUCUAAACAAUUGGAUCAAAAGACAUCUCCAGCUGUUAUCACACAUAUAAUUUUUGAAGCCGUGGCUUUUCUGCAAAAUUUUUGGCCAAACGCUUCCUCUGUCCAAAUGGUUGGCAGAAUCUGUGAAAAUGUAUAUAUUGAAGAUGUUGCUGAUAGGUUGUUAAAAGACGUGGAGUGUCCUACAUACAUACAUACAUACAUACAUACACGGUUUACUGGUCGUCAAUCCUGUUCCCAUUCAUGCAACUUACCUCUCAACAAGGAGAGACAAACUUCUUUGAAAGAAAAUGUUCUGGAGGAAAUAUGCGUAAGGACACUAAAACAACAGCUGCAGAAAUGUUGGAGGCGUCUAGAAAAUUACAAACCGAAGAUAAUCCUUUCCAGCAGUGUAGUUAAAUUUAUCUAAUUAAUUUUAUUUAAGAAGAAAUUACACAGACAUUAGUUGUCUCUGCCUUACAUGCAA